rnacentral:rRNA from 1 species
UACGUAGGUGGCAAGCGUUGUCCGGAUUUAUUGGGUUUAAAGGGUGCGUAGGUGGUUCCAUAAGUCAGUGGUGAAAUACGGCAGCUUAACUGUCGAGGUGCCAUUGAUACUGCGGAACUUGAGUACAGACGAGGUAGGCGGAAUUGACGGUGUAGCGGUGAAAUGCUUAGAUAUCGUCAAGAACACCGAUAGCGAAGGCAGCUUACUAGACUGUAACUGACACUGAGGCACGAAAGUGUGGGGAUCAAACAGGAUUAGAAACCCCGGUAGUCC